rnacentral:rRNA from 1 species
GGGUGACCUCGGAUCAGGUAGGAAG